AAGAUGGCGGAAUUGUAACCUCUAAAUUUUUUUGUAGCAAAUACCUAAGUAGUAGUUACAUUCUGUGGUAGUACUAUCUCAGUAAUCUGCAUUGAUGAAAACUACAUUACGACACGUUCAAAACACUACAAAUCCUAUUACGUGGCUUAUUCAGACAAAGAGUAGCGCUUCGAAAGUGUAAUCGAUUCGAGCGCACAACCGUCCAGCAGAAAAGGUGAUUCAGUAAUAAAAAAAGGAAA